CCUACGGGAGGCAGCAGUGAGGAAUAUUGGUCAAUGGACGAGAGUCUGAACCAGCCAAGUAGCGUGAAGGAUGACUGCCCUAUGGGUUGUAAACUUCUUUUAUAUGGGAAUAAAAUGUUCCACGUGUGGGAUUUUGUAUGUACCUUAUGAAUAAGGAUCGGCUAACUCCGUGCCAGCAGCCGCGGUAAUACGGAGGAUCCGAGCGUUAUCCGGAUUUAUUGGGUUUAAAGGGAGCGUAGGCGGAUUGUUAAGUCAGUUGUGAAAGUUUGCGGCUCAACCGUAAAAUUGCAGUUGAAACUGGCAGUCUUGAGUACAGUAGAGGUAGGCGGAAUUCGUGGUGUAGCGGUGAAAUGCUUAGAUAUCACGAAGAACUCCGAUUGCGAAGGCAGUUCACUGGACUGCAACUGACACUGAGGCUCGAAAGUGUGGGUAUCAAACAGGAUUAGAUACCCUAGUAGUC
rnacentral:rRNA from 1 species